GAGCCUGAGCACGUCUUCCUCUGACUGCUGCUUGUUGAGCAUACCCACGAACAGCUUCCGGUCCCCUGUGGGCGGAGCCCCGGCCCACGGCCCGCUGAGCCCGCGCUGGUCCUGCAGACCCUCAGCCCUGGCCCGCGCUGCCCCAGGACCUUUGCUCAGGCCGCCCCGCUGCCCAGUCGCCCAGGAAUGAGAGCCAGGACGAACUGUCUUUGAAAAUGGCCUGAUGUCCCCGAGCCCUGUGUGCAAAUGUCACCUUGGGACUUCUGUCUUCAAGAAGUCAGUUUAUGGGGCUGGAGAGAUGGCUCAGCAGUUAAGAGCACUGACUGCUCUUCCAGAGGUCCUGAGUUCAAAUCCCAGCAACCACAUGGUGGCUCACAACCAUCCGCAAUGAAAUCUGAUACCCUCUUCUGGAGUGUCUGAAGACAGCUACAGUGUACUCACAUAUACUAAUAAAUAAAUCUUUGAAAAAA
rnacentral:lncRNA from 1 species